rnacentral:rRNA from 1 species
AUUUAUACAAUGAAGAGUUUGAUCCUGGCUCAGGAUGAACGCUAGCGGGAGGCUUAACACAUGCAAGUCGAGGGG